CCAGGAAGCAUCUGGAGAUGGAGCUCCAGCAUGACGACCUGACUGGGAGGGAACUGGGUGGAGCACUGAUGAACUCUCUGGUUCUUCGCUCUCUGAGGUCCACACUAGCUCCUGAUGUUCUGUGGACUCUGUGGUCUGAGGCUUCACCACUCUGGAGAUCCACAAACCUGGGGUGGCCACAGAACAGUAAACCUGGCAGAGAGCGAGACCAGACUGUGGUCAUCUGGAGAAGCAGAAGCAGAGGGAUGGAGCAGAGCAUGGAGGUCAACCACAUUUAUUCUGUUUGUUCUGCAGUGACCAUCAGAUGAUAAUCAGUCUGCAGACGCCUCAUCUAAUCUGAGUUCCUAGGUUGUUUUUAACCAUUUAUUGUUUGAGCUGUAAUUAAAGGAAAUAAUCGACCAGAUGUUUCAUCAGUUGAGGAGGAUUUAAAGGAUGAAUUCAGAUGUUCUGAACUCAGAAGACUUCAGGUUGUGUUCUGUUUGAAAUGAAGCCGAAGGUAGCAGGAAGUUUUAAAAUAUGUUGGAACGCUAAAUAAAGCUUUGAUUUGUUUGGUUUCACAGA